rnacentral:rRNA from 1 species
CCUACGGGUGGCAGCAGUCGAGAAUUUUUCUCAAUGGGCGCAAGCCUGAAGGAGCGACGCCGCGUGGGGGAUGAAGGGUUUCGAUCCGUAAACCCCUGUCAUUCGCGAACAAUGGUUACCCGUGAACAACGGGUGGCUUGAUAGUAGCGGAAGAGGAAGGGACGGCUAACUCUGUGCCAGCAGCCGCGGUAAUACAGAGGUCCCGAGCGUUGUUCGGAUUCACUGGGCGUAAAGGGUGCGUAGGUGGCAUGGAAAGUUUGAUGUGAAAGCUCAGAGCUCAACUCUGAAAUGGCAUUGAAUACUACUGUGCUUGAGGUUUGGAGGGGGGACUGGAAUUCUCGGUGUAGCAGUGAAAUGCGUAGAUAUCGAGAGGAACACCAGUGGCGAAGGCGAGUCCCUGGACAACACCUGACACUGAGGCACGAAAGCCGGGGGAGCAA